rnacentral:misc_RNA from 1 species
CAGCGUUAACACCAUUAAGGCCCCUAAAUAUUAAAGAAACAACUUGAAUGAUGCAAUAGAGAAUGGUUUUCACAAAUUAUAGAGAUUCCUACUGUAAUCAUUCUAUUCUAAUAGUGUUAUCACUCUUUCAACUUGUUAGGAGGAACACAGGGAAAUUACAAAGGCUAUAAAUUGUGCUUACCAGUGGCAUCAAUUCCACCUUCCUUCCACGCAUCUCCACUCAUGUAAUAAACAUGGCUACAAUCACAUUUCAAGAAUAAUGAUUUAUUUUGUUAUAUUUAAUUAACAUGUCCAAAUAGUGUUUAGAAUAUAAUUAGCAAGAUCAGUAAAAAAAUAAAUAAAAUUGAAAAUUAUAAUCCAUAGUCGAACUAACAAUUUAUCCUCCCCAAGGAUAUGAACUCAAAAAUCCUAAUCAACAGGAAACUUAAAUUUCAGUUUUUCUUUUUCUUUGAUUUUCGAUUCUACUUGCAUUUACCCCCCAGAAACCUUAAAAUAAAACUUUUGCCAAAAAAAAAAAAAUCUAAUAAAACAAUUAAAAUAAA